rnacentral:rRNA from 1 species
UUCGAGUGGCGGACGGGUGAGUAACGCGUGGGUAACCUGUCUUACACAGGGGGAUAACACCUGGAAACAGGUGCUAAUACCGCAUAAGCGCACAGGGCCGCAUGGCCCGGUGUGAAAAACUCCGGUGGUGUAAGAUGGACCCGCGUCUGAUUAGCUUGUUGGCGGGGUAGAGGCCCACCAAGGCGACGAUCAGUAGCCGGCCUGAGAGGGUGGACGGCCACAUUGGGACUGAGACACGGCCCAAACUCCUACGGAAGGCAGCAG